rnacentral:lncRNA from 1 species
AUGGGCCCCAAGCACAGUGCAGCUGCCUUAUGGAAGAGCAGCCAGAAUGUUUUCCACAUGAAUCCCUGCCCCUGUUACUCCUCACUGGGCAGAGUCUCUUGACUUGGGCCAACACAACCACCCUUCCCCCCCCAUACACUUUUGCCAGUGGCAGCUCUGCGAUUUUCUGGGAAGGAAAUCCCAGAGACAAUCCACAGCCCCUCUUCCAUGGCAACUGUGGUGGUACAGCCCUUACUGCUUUUGAGCUCGGGAAGGAAUACAGGGCCUGGUUGCAUUACUGGCACCUCCAACGUGCUGCAGCCACCAUAUGGAGAUGAGCCGAGUCUCUCUUCUCUGUGAGCUCCAAACCCCUACUCUUCACCAGGCAAGGCCUCCAGCUCAGACUACAGAGCAGCUGCCCUACUCCUCACUGAGUAUUUCCAGCAGUGUUUCUUGGGGGAGGAGCUUCCAGAGGCAACUGACAGCCACUGCUGCUGCCAGUGCGGCAGUUCUGCCCUUACUGCCCUUGGAAUGAGGAAGGAACAAAGGGUCUGAGGCCUUUAUUUGUGCCUCCAGCAUGCCAUGGUUGCCAUAUGGAAAGAAGCCCAAUCUCUCUCCCUGUAGGCACCAAACCCCUGCCCUUCACAAAGCAGGGCCCCCAGCUUGAGUCCAAAGUACAACUGCUCCAGCCCCUGGCUGAACAUUCCCACUGGUAGUGGCUCUGUGUUUCUCUUGGAUGGAGCUCCCAGAGGCAACUAAAAGCCCUUCUGCCACUGCCAGUGCUGUAAUACUGCCCUUACCCCAUGGACUGUCAUAGGAACAAAGAUCCUGGGUUCUUUACUUACACCUCCAGCAUGCUGCAUCUGCCCUGAAGAGAAGAGGCCAUUUUGUUUUCCCCAAGAGCCUACUGCCUACCGUGCUUAUCACCAGGCAGGGCCCCCUGGCUUGGGCCCAUAUUACAGCUGCCUCCAGUUAGACUUAUUGCUGCAGUUGGUAGUGGCUCUAUGUUUCUCUGAGGUGGAGUCCCAAGAGACAAAUCAAAGUCCUACCAUUGCUAUUGCCAAGGUCCUUUACCUUGCUGUCCCAAGCCUGGGCAGGGAACAUAAGGCCUGACCUCACCCCAGGACUGAAGUAUGCAGCUGGGGAAUGCCAACCUGAGAUCUGCAGCCAGCAAGAAAUAAGCCUACACUCUCACAGCACUGAAAGGGAGCACAGCUACGAAUGCUAGGAAAUAUAGAGGAGCCACAUGGCUGAGCAAGAGCCUACUAAAUGGCCAUUACACUUAGGCACCAUCUACUAGAUCACAGCCCAAACUUCAACAAUAAAUAUACUUUGCUAGGCUGAGGUGGGCGGAUCACGAGGUCAAGAGUCUGAGACCAGCCUGGCCAAUAUGGUGAAACACCAUUUCUACUAAAAAUACAAAAAUUACCUGGGCAUGGUGGUGUGCACCUAUAGUCCCAGCUACUCAGGAGGCUGAG